UUAAGUUCAGCGGGUAUCCCUACCUGAUCCGAGGUCAACCUGUAAAAGUGAUUGGGGGUUUGCGGCAGGAUCGCCUCACGUUCCGAGCGAAAGAAAAACUUACUACGCCGGGGCACGUGGGGCUUUCCGCCAUUGAAUUUCGGAAGGGAGUGCAUCCUGGUACACUCCACUCCCAAUACCAAGCAAAAGGGCUUGAGUGG
rnacentral:misc_RNA from 1 species